AGGUGUGUCAGCCCACCUUGGAAUGCUCUAAGGGGUAUAAGAGAAGCCAGCCCCUUAUGACACCACUUUUCCCACUUCUCUUUCAGAAGCUGGAGAAAUCCGGGAAGUCUGGAGCACACAUCCCCUCACCAUCAGGGCAGAAGCCUGGUCAGAGAGAAAGGAAAGUUGCUUUGAUGUCCUCUCACCUAGACUAUUCAUUCCCCUGAGAAGCAAGAGGAGUCAAGGAAGAUAGAGUCAUGUGGGAGGACAUAACGUGCUCUUCAAGUCCUGAGGCUGCAUCCCCACUGCUGUGUGAUCUCAAACAAGUCACUUAACCUCUCUGAGCCUUGGUUUCCUCAUCUGUAAAAUGGAGCUAAUAAUACCACCUCUGUUACUGAACAGAAUUUCUAAAAGUCCCAAGCAGAUGUUGUCAGUAUGCAAGGGAAGACAAAAUAUGGGGAGGGAGGGUGAGAACAGGUUGCCCUACCUGGUCACCAUGGCUGCCUGAUGGAGGAAGGAGAUUCAGAGGAUAACAGAGAUUGGAUACGGAGAUUGUGAAACCCAGGAUAGGAAGCAAAAGGGCCCAACUCAGGGAGCCUUGCUGGGAAGGGCCCCUGGAAUUCAUGGACCACGCUUGCUGAGAACCCACCGGAAGAAAUGACACAGUACUGCAGUAUGAAGGACUCAGGUCAGACUGUAAACAGACUUCCAGCCAGUCAGGCAACAACAAGGGCACUCCCUCCUGGGGUCUUUGGCUAUGCCUGAGCAAAAUCUCCCC
rnacentral:lncRNA from 1 species